rnacentral:rRNA from 1 species
AUUGAACGCUGGCGGCAGGCCUAACACAUGCAAGUCGAGCGGUAACAGGGGUAGCUUGCUACCCGCUGACGAGCGGCGGACGGGUGAGUAAUGCAUAGGAAUCUGCCCGGUAGUGGGGGAUAACCUGGGGAAACCCAGGCUAAUACCGCAUACGUCCUACGGGAGAAAGGGGGCUCCGGCUCCCGCUAUUGGAUGAGCCUAUGUCGGAUUAGCUAGUUGGUGAGGUAAUGGCUCACCAAGGCAACGAUCCGUAGCUGGUCUGAGAGGAUGAUCAGCCACAUCGGGACUGAGACACGGCCCGAACUCCUACGGGAGGCAGCAGUGGGGAAUAUUGGACAAUGGGGGCAACCCUGAUCCAGCCAUGCCGCGUGUGUGAAGAAGGCCCUCGGGUUGUAAAGCACUUUCAGCGAGGAAGAACGCCUAGUGGUUAAUACCCAUUAGGAAAGACAUCACUCGCAGAAGAAGCACCGGCUAACUCCGUGCCAGCAGCCGCGGUAAUACGGAGGGUGCAAGCGUUAAUCGGAAUUACUGGGCGUAAAGCGCGCGUAGGUGGCUUGAUAAGCCGGUUGUGAAAGCCCCGGGCUCAACCUGGGAACGGCAUCCGGAACUGUCAGGCUAGAGUGCAGGAGAGGAAGGUAGAAUUCCCGGUGUAGCGGUGAAAUGCGUAGAGAUCGGGAGGAAUACCAGUGGCGAAGGCGGCCUUCUGGACUGACACUGACACUGAGGUGCGAAAGCGUGGGUAGCAAACAGGAUUAGAUACCCUGGUAGUCCACGCCGUAAACGAUGUCGACCAGCCGUUGGGUGCCUAGAGCACUUUGUGGCGAAGUUAACGCGAUAAGUCGACCGCCUGGGGAGUACGGCCGCAAGGUUAAAACUCAAAUGAAUUGACGGGGGCCCGCACAAGCGGUGGAGCAUGUGGUUUAAUUCGAUGCAACGCGAAGAACCUUACCUACCCUUGACAUCUACAGAAGCCGGAAGAGAUUCUGGUGUGCCUUCGGGAACUGUAAGACAGGUGCUGCAUGGCUGUCGUCAGCUCGUGUUGUGAAAUGUUGGGUUAAGUCCCGUAACGAGCGCAACCCUUGUCCUUAUUUGCCAGCGAGUAAUGUCGGGAACUCUAAGGA